UUCCAAUGACGCUCAUUAAGGCAGGUGUCGUGGAAAGGUCUGAUUAUGUCGUGACGCUCUCUGCCGUGUACAACAGCAUCAAGGAGGUAACGUGGCUUCAAAACCGGUUUCAUCAUGUGGAGACGCCCAAACUAAACCCUGACAGCAGCAGCUGAGACGCUUUCAUCCCCGUUAACCACAACAUGUUGCACCGGAGGAGGAGGGGGCGCUCCCCAAAGAAGCCAAUUGUCUCUGUGCAAAGGCCAGAGGGAGCCUGGCCUGAGUGGGCGAGGAGGAGUCAGCCGGACGGACCUUGAAGAGUUGCUGUCUGUAGAAGAUUCGAUUUUCUCCUGCGUUGUGCACCACGGCCGUGGAGACCUGGACGGAGGACAGACCACACAAAUACUAAAGAGGCAGUCCAGCAUUCACACACAGACAGGAGAGAGACUGAAUCUCUCGAGGGACGACGCUCCAGAUCCAAAAAAACGUCUGGAUGAGACACCGACAAACGGGAGAAAGAGGUUCCCGGAGGGGCCGGUGGUGCAGAGAGCGAGAGAGAGAGAGAGGUUGGCAGCUUGUUGGAAAAGAGAAAAACAACAGAAGACAGCGUUUGUCAGAAGUUUACAGUUUUCAUCAGCAGGACAGUCGAUACUCGGGUUAAAAGGCAUUGAGACAGAGACGAACCUGCGGUUUGUGCGGCUCCAAACACCAAAAUAAUGCGAGUACACCUCCAAAAAGAAAGUUCAGACGACCUAAAUAAAUGAUGUAUGCUCAUAUUUGGGAUUGUCCAAACCACUGAGGUGUUGUUCAGAUAUUCGAGGAUGAAUCCUGUCGACACUGGUGACUUUUUCUCAUCAGGUUCAGUUUUGUUUGGCCGGCCUUUACUUUACUUCACAUCCAGUGCCACCAAAUGGGACAAAGUUUUAUUGUUUAAUACCUGCAAAGACGUUCCCAUCGCGCAGAAUCUGUAGGCAAGGAACCAAGAUUUCGGCACCAGGCUUUGGUUGCAACAGUCCGGGUGAAGUUUUUGUGAUAUUCAGACAAACAAGAGUUGGAAAACUUAAAUAUCUCCCAUUCUGAUAUGAUUGAUUUUGACAUUUCAAGUUUUCAUCAUUUUCAUUUAGAUAUGUGGUUUUAUAGACGAGCUUCACUCUGUGCAUGAGAAAACAGAAAUGUGAAGAUUUUCCAACAAGCUGCAGCAUCUCAGCCUAAAUGUCUUUGUAAAGACUAUUUUCAUUGCACUUCUGCUUUAUUAGGGAAAGUAACAAGCAAUAAA